rnacentral:misc_RNA from 1 species
GAUCAUUCGACCAUAGCAAGCCUGUUAUUACAUGGUCAACAUUAGAUGCAGCGGUUAUUGUAACAGGUUGUCUGAACUCUGUGUUCACCAAAUAU